rnacentral:rRNA from 1 species
AGCGAACGCUGGCGGCAGGCCUAACACAUGCAAGUCGAACGAACCUUUCGGGGUUAGUGGCGGACGGGUGAGUAACACGUGGGAACGUGCCUUUAGGUUCGGAAUAACUCAGGGAAACUUGUGCUAAUACCGAAUGUGCCCUUCGGGGGAAAGAUUAAUCGCCUUUAGAGCGGCCCGCGUCUGAUUAGCUAGUUGGUUGAGGUAAUGGCUCACCAAGGCGACGAUCAGUAGCUGGUCUGAGAGGAUGAUCAGCCACAUUGGGACUGAGACACGGCCCAAACUCCUACGGGAGGCAGCAGUGGGGAAUCUUGCGCAAUGGGCGAAAGCCUGACGCAGCCAUGCCGCGUGAAUGAUGAAGGUCUUAGGAUGGUAAAAUUCUUUCACCGGGGACGAUAAUGACGGUACCCGGAGAAGAAGCCCCGGCUAACUUCGU